CAAUAGCGUAUAUUAAAGUUGUUGCAGUUAAAAAGCUCGUAGUUGGAUUUCUGCUGAGGACGAUCGGUCCGCCCACUGGGUGAGUAUCUGGCUCGGCCUUGGCAUCUUCUUGGAGAACGUUGCUGCACUUGACUGUGUGGCGCGGUAUCCAGGACUUUUACUUUGAGGAAAUUAGAGUGUUUCAAGCAGGCGCACGCCUUGAAUACAUUAGCAUGGAAUAAUGAGAUAGGACCUUGGUUCUAUUUUGUUGGUUUCUAGAGCUGAGGUAAUGAUUAAUAGGGAUAGUUGGGGGCAUUCGUAUUUAACUGUCAGAGGUGAAAUGCUUGGAUUUGUUAAAGACGGACUACUGCGAAAGCAUUUGCCAAGGAUGUUUUCAUUGA
rnacentral:rRNA from 1 species